UAUAUAUAUAUAUAUAUAUAUAUAUAUAUAUAUAUAUAUUUAGUUUUCGGUGGACACAACAUCUUUAUUUCAUUUUUAUGUGGUGCUGAGGAUCGAACCCGGGCCACACGCAUGCCAGGCGGGCGUGCUACCACUUGAGGCACAUCCCCAGCCCUUAAAAGUUUAAUAGAUCUUUAUUAUUUAUACUGAGAAAACAGGAAAGUAAUUAAAAACCUAGAAAGAAUUUUAGUUUUUAUCUUUCUAAAGAGAUCCAUUGAAAUCAUUUUUAUAUUUUAGAAAUAGUAGAAGCGUGGUACUUAACAGGAAUUAAAGUACUUUAUUUUUAUUGACCAGCAGCCCCCAGUACAAAAAAAAUUAAUCUCAGGUAUUAUUGAAUAUAAGUGUUCUGAAUUCCCUUAUGAACUAAUUUUUGAGAAACUAUUUUCUUGUAUUCACCAUGGGACAAGUUGUCAGUCUUCUUUAUUUCAACUGCUUAUCACAGUUACCAAAGAUUAUCCCACACUAUAAAUUCUUAAGAACUUCCUAAUCAGAUAUUUAAGUAUAUGCCAUUUCUAUAAUGUAAUUUCAGGGCAUCUUAUAUUUAUUAUUUUGAUGUCCAGAAUCAAUAAAAAAUAUUUCUUUAUCCAUAAUCAUCUAAGAAAAAUCUUUUUUGAAUCUAAAAGUACAUGCCAGUCCUCUGCUUUUGCUAAGGCAAUAACCAGUCGAAGUGGUCAACAAUGUUUAUACCUUCUUAACUGAUAUUAAUCAGUUUGGAUUUUGUUGUUGUUCUGUUUGUUUGUUUGUUUUAGUGGGGGUAGGGGAGUGCUGAGAAUCAAACGCAGGGCCUUGCACAUGCUAAGCAUGUGCUCUACCACUGAGCUAUACUCCCAGCCCAGAGAAUUUUUGAUUAAUUUAUCACUAGCAAUAUGCCCUUAAUACCUAUUAAGGGCAUAAUGCUAGUGAUAAAUUAAUCAAAAAUAAAUUAAUUCCCUUAUGCAUAUUUAAAGAGCACAUGCCACUUAUAGUAUUUAAUAUAGAAGGCCCAAACACAAACAUAAGUUAUGGCUUAGAAUUAAAACUGCUGAUCUAGUUGAAAUGGAGGUCUUAAUUUAGUCAUUAAAAAUUCAUGAUGUUAUACUUUUGUUGUGUUAUUAUUAUAUACCACUCCAGAACUAGACACAAAGACAAAAAAUAGUCCCAAAUUUUGAACAAUAUAUUAUAUAACUUCUGCAGUGUAUUGGCAUUGUAAUAAUGGAAAACUACUUCUCUUCAUUAAUACACAAACUGUCCAAAGAGGUGAUGAUUGAAGCUUUACACCAAGUAGAUGAAGGACAUCUCAGGGCAACAUAUCUAUAGAUACCACUGACAAACAGAAUCACAGAAAGCUGAACAUCUGGUGUAACAGAACAACAAAAGAGGUUAUGUUUACGCAAAACCUUUUUGCCUCCAAAUAUUCGGGGUUUGGAUAUAUAAGAAGAAUAUAUAUUUCUAAGGAAAGCAAGUAUAUUUAACUUAGUGACAAAUACAAAAAUAUUCCUACAUAGUGAAUAUGCAUUCCCCUACUAUCUCCACCAUUUACCUCCCUCGCUAAUUCUGAGUGAAUUUUGUGUGUUCACAUGUGCUAGUAUAUUUACCUCUUCACUAGUAAUGAAGAAGAUAUAAUGGUGUAUAUAUAGAACUAUAAGGAAAAUAUACAUGAGAAAAUAUUAAUAUAACCCAUUGAUAUGAUAAUGUAUAUUGAAUUAAUUGACAUGCUAAAUUUUAUUAGGGUGUUCACAUCCACUAUAACAACUCCCUUAGAACAUAUUCAAAAUUUGGGACUAUUUUUUGUCUUUGCCUGUUUCCUUCGAGUAUAGAUAGACACACUUAGAGAUAUCCAUGUGUGUGUAAGAAAACAAGAAAAAUAUAAAUUCUGUAGAGUAACAGCCUCAGAUGGAUUCAUAUUAGUAUGCAAAUCUUUAACUCCCACCCAAAAUUUUGAACUUGGCUAUCACAGUCAUCUUCACAUUUUUUUUUGUAUUCCCAGUGCCACCAGAAACACAAAGGAAACUUAGUGUUGAUUUAAUGAAGUAGCAAAAUGUUAGGUACAAUACAAAGCAGAUUGUCCUCCCACCUAAAACAAAUCAGUGAUGUUUAAGUAAGUGAUUUUGGUUUUUGCAUGUGUGUAUAAAAAUUUGAUUGCUCAAAUAGUGGUUCAAUUCGCAUUCUGCACCAGUGAAAUCUGCCCUGCAAUUGCCAUCUCUAGCACUAUUCAGAGAAUUUCUUGCCAUUGUGACUGCUCUUUAUACACACUAGACAGCCUUGGCCCAACCUGUUAAACUGCAGCUGCUGGGGCUGCCCAUCCCAGGACACAUUGCUUCCAAUCAUGCUUCAGUGAAUCUUAAAACAUUUGGCACUCCCAUCUUAGAAAUUCUUUUCUGGGACUCGAUGUACUACAGCUUUGUAAGCUCCCCAUUAUUUACCACAGUAAAACUUGUUUGGGGUUGGUAUCAACCUGAUAGGCUAUGAUUCCCUUCAUCCAAUAAAGCACAGCUUUCCUUGAUCCCUAUAUACUGAUGAAAUGAAUUGGAUUUGCCAGUAUCUAAGAAAUCAGGUGAUUACUUUGUUCUGUUUGUUUGUUGCAGGGGUAGGGAUAGAACCUAGGGCCUCACACAUGCUGGACAAGCACUCUACCAUUGACUAUAUUCCCAACCUCAAAGUGAUUAUUUUAACAUUUCCAUUAACCAUACAAGCAGAGUGGUAAAGAGAAAAUAAUAGUCUUUGAAGUUCACACAGGCCUGGUUUCAAAUCCCAGCUCGAUGUUUACAAGCUGGGUGGUCUCAGAGAAGUACUUAACCUUUGUGGUCUUUGGUUUCCUCCCAGUUCCUUGGGGUUUCUAUGAGUAUUGAAAGAUACCAAGUUCUAAGUGCAAAGAUAUUUGGUGUUCAUUCCUUUCUAUAUUGAAGAUUUAUAAUGGCCUUUUCGUAGAACUGACUAUAAUUAGGUGGCUAUGCCUUUAGAUUUCAAAAUUACAUUAAUUGCCUAUUUGCCUCUGAUUUUGAAUGUUCAGCUGUUAUAUUAUAGAAACACCUACCUACUCAGUUGCUUCCAUGGGUCCUUGGAGUAAAUAAAAUGACUGUAGAAUAGAGUGGGUGUAGAUGUUGUAAAGUUUGCUUAAGUUUAACAUUUCAUUAUUCAUGGGGAGACACUGACUCAAAAUUCACACAUUAGAAAAAUAGUCAUAUUCUACCAAAAGUAGGGUUGAGUGAAAAUAAAAUUUGUCUACAGGAACAUUGAACAAAUUUUAUUUGUUUAUUGUGUGUUUAUUGCUAGUGUGGAAAUCAUCUGUUCUUAAGAUGAAUCACCAAUUAAACCUGAGUUGGAUAUCUGGGGGGAAAAAAAUGUAAAAUUAGGUAGGCUGUGCUUGCUUUCCCCAGAAUUUACAAUCUGAAAGAUAUAGAAAUGCUUCAAGGUACCAGCUAUUACUUUUGGGGUUUCUUGCUUUUUUUAUAAAAAAUAAUUUUUAAAUUAUUUGACAAUUUUUCAAAAUAUCAGAUUGCUUGAUUUAUUGAUUUGAUGUAACAUUAUUUGAAUUGUCAAAUUUACCUUCUGAAAAUCUGAAUUUUCAUAACAAGGGCAUUUAUAUCUUACUAAUGCCAAAAAAAGUAGAAAAUUAUUCUCAGAGUAAAGGAACAUUUUAUUUUAUUCUAUGAGCACUUUUGCCCAAAUUAGUACUAUUGAAUAAGUUACUUCUGGCAGCAACUACAGAUUUCUUAAGGCAGUAAACAUAUUCCUUCAUGUUCUCUAGGGCUGUCUCUCUGCCACAGUGCCAAGUUUCUCUGUUGUCUGAAUGUGAGAAAGGGCAUCAUGUGAUAUUGUGGCUUAACUGUGACCCUCAGGAACUGCCACUGAAAACCAUUCUCUUCCACCCAAGGAGCUUCCUGACUUUAGGUCUGACAUAGAAGAGUCCCCCUUGUCCUCUCCCCUGCUGCCCUGGAACGUACAGUUGGUGCCUGAGAGCUUUGUAGGAGCUGUGUGUACUCACAUUUUUUGAUAAUUAUUUCUCUUCAUAUUUUAUUUUUCUCUCUGGCAGGCAUACUGGCUUUAUAUUUUUAAUAAUAAUAUGAAAUCCUUAUAUUUUGAGUUGAUUUCAUAUAAAGAAAAAAUAUUGAGUAAAUAAUAAUUCAGGUGGUAAAUGGCUAAAUACAAAGGAUGAAACUCAGUGCACAAAAGUAGUCUUGGGCCUUAAUGAAAAUCAAAGUUUGAUGUUUAGAGAAUUUAAAAUAGGUAACUCUUAUAUUCUACUUAAGAUAGUUUUCAGGAAAUCCUAGGAGGAGUUAGUAAGUAGUGUUAUCAGUGGAGAAUAUACUGUGGCUCUAUGGUUAGGCAUAGUACAGUCCAAAUGCCAUUUGUCUUUAAGGAGACCUUGUACCCAGAGUCCUCAUUUGUAAAAAGUAAGAUUGGUUCCUGAAUUAAAUGAGCUAGCAUAUCAAGUGAAUGGUACAAAGUUAGCACUAGUUCAUUGUUGGACUUCCUUUAAUGCCUUAUGAGCUGAACAUAGGUUAUAGCUUUGUAUAUCCAUAUUUUUUGUAAUGUUCUAGUAAACUAGAGGAAAACCGAGGAUUAAAAACCCAUUUUUUACUGCUGCACAAAUAAAUUAAAAGUUUGUGUCAAUAGCAAAGUCAGGUUUAAUAUUUCAUCUAGGUAAGCUAACCAGCACUUAGAAUUCACAUACAUACAUAUCCUUAUAGCAUCGUUUUCCUCUCUGCUUUAGUAACUAGGAAACUGAAAGCUGAAAUUCUUUUAUUAAAGGUGUGCAGAACUUUUUUAUAUACUUGUUUGUUUAAUAAGUUUGCAUUGCUUUCACUUUUCUAUUCUUAUUUUUCUCUUGCUUCAGUUAUUUUAUCCUACUGCAUUCUAUUAUACUGUUUAUUAAUGUUGUAACACUAUAUCCUUUAUUUUUGGAAUAAGACUGAAAAUAAUUAUUUUUGCAAAAUAAUAUCAUUGCAUUGCUGAAUAAUGUUCCAAACAAAAUUUAAGAGAGAAAGGUUGGAGAAAAUGUAACAUGAUCCUAAAACUGUCUAUGUCAGCCAGUUCCCUUGUAAAUUCUAACAUUAUAUGUUUCAUUCUUGCCCCAAAACAGCCAUGUUCUGCCACCAAUCAUUGCUUUACAUCAGAAGCCAUUAGAAUCUGUUUGACUAUUAAGGGUUGGGGACAUAAUUAGCAGUCCUACCGUUUCAUGUCUUCAAAUACAUGUUGUCUUUCAAAUAUGUCUUCUCUAGAGAUGAUUCCAAUGAAGCUCUUAGCUAGAAGAGUAUCUAAGGGACUUCUCUAUGCAAAAGCCAGCAAAGUUGAUUUUGAAGCUGCAGAAGAAAAAUGAACUUUAUAAUUCCCUCUUUUUAAAUAAAACUCUUUUAUUUACCUUAAUCAAUCACCUUAUAUUCAUGAGGCUAAAGAAAUCACCAAUGUUUGGGGCUGAGGGUGUAACUCAGUGCGAGACCCUAGGUUCAAGCCCCAGCAUUGCAAAAAAUAAAAGAAUAUGCCACAAGGCUUGAAGGCCAUUAACAAAGAAAGGAAUGCCCAUAAAAGAUUUGGCACAAUGUCAGAAUGAUUGGCAAACUAUGUAGUUAACCAGAGAGACUACUCUAAAGAUCAGUUGCAGAUUCUGGUAUGUUUAUUUUUAAAAGAAUCUCAAUAAUAGGCAUACCCCAUACAGCAAAAUUUUACAUGUUUCUAGAGAGCCAAAAUAUUUUCAAUAUUAAGAUUUAUUUGGUUUCUAUUUGUACAAAGCAUAAAGAUAAAUUACAAAAAUAAAAAUAAUAAUUUGAGGAUCUUUUAAAGCAAAUAUCUAUUUUGACAGGAAAAUUACAGCAAUUGUACCUGUAGUGCAUAGGCUAGGACUGAGACUGCUUAAAGUGAAGAGAAAAUAAAAGUGUUUUUACAUGUGUUUUCUUAUUCUAAUUUGACGACGCUACCAAAGGAAACUAAAAAUUAUUUUACAGGUCAUUGUCAUUCUUAUGACAAUCUUGUGAUUAUUUGUACUUAAUGUUAAAUAUUUCCUGACAUUUUUACUUCAAUUAUUUUUAGCUAUUCACCCACAAAUGCAGUACAGUUGACAUAAUUACCCCCCUUUUAAUUCACAAAAGACAUGUAUUUACCUAUUUGUUAUAAUGCUUCUCGUGCUAGCAUGCUGUUUCUGUGACAAGACUACUUUGAACACACAGUAGGUAAAAUAAUAUUGUAUAUUGCACAGCAACCCCAAUAACUGAAUGUUAAUUUAACCAGUGAAGACAAAGUAAUUAUAAUAAUAAGAAUUCUUAUCUUUUAAUGGAGUUAAAAAUGGAACUCAAAUUGGUCUUAUGUAGCUCAUUGGCUUAGUAAUCACUAGAAAAAUCAACCAGUCAAGGUGCAAAACAUUUGCAAGGCUGCAAGUAGUUAGUAGAGAUCCUAGCAGAUCUCAGUGUACUAUCAGGGUAUUAGUGGCACAUCUAGAAUAUUUGACACCUGUCAACCUCCACAUAACAAAAUUAUUUUCAGUAGUAAUGAAAAGAACAAGUGUGAUGGCCAGAAAAAGAUGUGUAGAUAGUGAAAAUUGCUUUUUACUGAAUAUAUAUGUGUGUAUUCAUAAUAAUAAUGCUGGUUAAAAAAAUAAAAAGGAAUGUAUUACAGAAUUUAAAAAACUGACCAUUUUAAAUUAUACAAAUGUAUCUUCAGUGAGGGUUUAUACCUAAAUAUUGGUCUGUUGUAAUAAUGCAUAACAACAUUACAUUAACCAGUAAGUGAGGUUGUUUUCCCCCCAGUACUGGGGAUCAAACCAGGGUCUAGCACAUGCUAGGCAAGUGCACUACCAUUGAGCUGCAUCCCUAGACUCUGUUUUUUUCUUUUUUAAUUUUAAUUUUGUGACAGGGUCUCAAUAAGUUGUCCAGGCUGGUCUCAAGCUUGGAAUCCUCCUUGCCUCAACCUCUCAAGUAGCUGGGAUUACAGAUGUGCACCAUCAUGCCCAGACAUGAGGUCUGUGCUUCAUGAACCAUUUGGGAAGGUUCUCAAAGACUACCACACACCUUCUUCAAAGCAAUGGAGCAUCCUAUUUAGCCACUGAAGUUGUUGGAGUGCAAUAGGGCAGGAGAAAAACAUUAAAAGCCAGCCUUCAUCUACUGGUUUAGAGCCACUGGACUGUGCUGAAUGUGGUUUGGACCAGCAAGAUCCUCCCCUCAAAAAAGACCCUGAGAUGCCCUUGGAAGCUGUUAACCCAAACACAGGAUCUCACUAAGUUGUCCAGGUUGGCCAUAAAUGUGUGAUGCUCCUGCUUCAACCCCUGGGCUGCUGGGAUCACAGAUGUGGGCCACUGUAUCCAGCAAUCCACUCUUAAUUAUUACAAACCAGGUAAGAAUCCCUAGAUAUCUA